GACGAACGCUGGCGGCGUGCUUAACACAUGCAAGUCGAACGGAAAGGCCCUGCUUUUGUGGGGUGCUCGAGUGGCGAACGGGUGAGUAACACGUGAGUAACCUGCCCUUGACUUUGGGAUAACUUCAGGAAACUGGGGCUAAUACCGGAUAGGAGCUCCUGCUGCAUGGUGGGGGUUGGAAAGUUUCGGCGGUUGGGGAUGGACUCGCGGCUUAUCAGCUUGUUGGUGGGGUAGUGGCUUACCAAGGCUUUGACGGGUAGCCGGCCUGAGAGGGUGACCGGCCACAUUGGGACUGAGAUACGGCCCAGACUCCUACGGGAGGCAGCAGUGGGGAUUAUUGCACAAUGGGCGGAAGCCUGAUGCAGCAACGCCGCGGGCGGGAUGACGGCCUUCGGGUUGUAAACCGCUUUCGCCUGUGACGAAGCGUGAGUGACGGUAAUGGGUAAAGAAGCACCGGCUAACUACGUG
rnacentral:rRNA from 1 species